rnacentral:rRNA from 1 species
UACAGAGGUCUCAAGCGUUGUUCGGAAUUACUGGGCGUAAAGGGCUCGUAGGCGGCCAACUAAGUCAGACGUGAAAUCCCUCGGCUUAACCGGGGAACUGCGUCUGAUACUGGAUGGCUCGAGUUUGGGAGAGGGAUGCGGAAUUCCAGGUGUAGCGGUGAAAUGCGUAGAUAUCUGGAGGAACACCGGUGGCGAAGGCGGCAUCCUGGACCAAUACUGACGCUGAAUAGCGAAAGCCAGGGGAGCAAACGGG